AUAUGUGUGUGUGUGUGUGUGUGUGUGUGUGUGUGUGUGUGUGUGUAUAUACACACAUACAUAUACACAUACAUAUAUACACACAUACAUA
rnacentral:miRNA from 1 species